rnacentral:tRNA from 1 species
UUGGAGUCUAGCCAAGUUGGUAAGGCGCCCGUUUUUGGUACGGGGACCGGAGGUUCGAGUCCUUCGACUCCAAA